CCUCGAGUCUUUGACGCAAGUUGCGCCCAAAGCCAUUAGGCCGAGGGCACGCCUGCCUGGGUGUCACACAUCGUCAUCCCCAUGCAAAUGCGCAUUGGGGUGAAAGUUGGCCUCCCGCGAAACAUUUGUUGUGGUUGGUCGAAAACCAAGGUAAUGUCGGGGUCCCCCCGCGAGAAACGGUGGAUGAGCAACGCUCGAGACCAACGGCGGUGGCGGACACUCGGUACACCAAUUGGUGGGCCCUAUUGUGUUUUUGGAAAAAAUCAAAGACGCUCAUAAAGAGACCUCAGGUCAGGCGGGGCUACCCGCUGAGUUUAAGCAUAUCAAUAAGCGGAGGAAAAGAAACUAACAAGGAUUCCCUUAGUAACGGCGAGCGAACCGGGAACAGCCCACCAUGAGAAUCGGUCGCCUCUGGCGUUCGAAUUGUAGUCUG
rnacentral:rRNA from 1 species